rnacentral:rRNA from 1 species
AAUGAACGCUGGCGGCGUGCCUAACACAUGCAAGUCGAACGAGAAAGGUCGCAAGACUGAGUACAGUGGCGCACGGGUGAGUAAUACACGGGAAUCUACCCCUUUGUGGAGAAUACCCUGGAGAAAUCCAGGUUAAUACUGCAUAAGCCCAGAGAUGGGGAAUGGUGGCCUCAAGCUACCGCUGAGGGAUGAGCCUGUGUCCUAUUAGCUAGUUGGUAGGGUAAAAGCCUACCAAGGCAAAGAUGGGUAGCCGACCUGAGAGGGUGACCGGCCACACUGGAACUGAAACACGGUCCAGACUCCUACGGGAGGCAG